rnacentral:rRNA from 1 species
GGCUCAGGAUGAACGCUAGCGACAGGCCUAACACAUGCAAGUCGAGGGCAGCACAAGGAGCAAUCUGAGGUGGCGACCGGCGCACGGGUGAGUAACACGUAUGCAACCUGCCUGUAAGCGGGGAAUAACCCGUUGAAAGAACGGACUAAUACCGCAUAAUACUAAAUUACUGCAUGGUAAUUUAUUUAAACAUUUAUGGCUUACAGAUGGGCAUGCGCAUGAUUAGCUAGUUGGAGAGGUAACGGCUCCCCAAGGCAACGAUCAUUAGGGGUUCUGAGAGGAAGGUCCCCCCACACUGGUACUGAGACACGGACCAGACUCCUACGGGAGGCAGCAGUGAGGAAUAUUGGUCAAUGGACGAGAGUCUGAACCAGCCAAGUCGCGUGCAGGAAGAAUUGUCCUAUGGAUUGUAAACUGCUUUUGCAGGGGAAUAAAGUGCAUCACGUGUGAUGUUUUGUAUGUACUCUGCGAAUAAGGAUCGGCUAACUCCGUGCCAGCCGCGGC